rnacentral:rRNA from 1 species
UACGUAGGGGGCGAGCGUUGUCCGGAUUUAUUGGGCGUAAAGAGCGUGUAGGCGGCCAGGUAGGUCUGCUGUGAAAACUCGAGGCUCAACCUCGAGACGUCGGCGGAAACCAUCUGGCUAGAGUCCGGAAGAGGAGAGUGGAAUUCCUGGUGUAGCGGUGAAAUGCGCAGAUAUCAGGAAGAACACCCGUGGCUAAGGCGGCUCUCUAGUACGGUACUGACGCUGAGA